rnacentral:rRNA from 1 species
GACGAACGCUGGCGGCGUGCUUAACACAUGCAAGUCGAACGGAAAGGCCCUGCUUUUGUGGGGUGCUCGAGUGGCGAACGGGUGAGUAACACGUGAGUAACCUGCCCUUGACUUUGGGAUAACUUCAGGAAACUGGGGCUAAUACCGGAUAGGAGCUCCUGCUGCAUGGUGGGUGUUGGAAAGUUUCGGCGGUUGGGGAUGGACUCGCGGCUUAUCAGCUUGUUGGUGGGGUAGUGGCUUACCAAGGCUUUGACGGGUAGCCGGCCUGAGAGGGUGACCGGCCACAUGGGGACUGAGAUAGGGCCCAGACUCCUACGGGAGGCAGCAGUGGGGAAUAUUGCACAAUGGGCGGAAGCCUGAUGCAGCAACGCCGCGUGCGGGAUGACGGCCUUCGGGUUGUAAACCGCUUUCGCCUGUGACGAAGCGUGAGUGAAGGUAAUGGGUAAAGAAGCACCGGCUAACUACGUG